GGGCUCUCGAUAAAGUGCACUCCGCCUGGUGGGGGUGUGUGGACCGAGGAGUGUAAGAAAUUACAUCAUAAAUAUUAGGAAGAGUUUACACAAACAGGGGUCCUUAACAGGGAUAUUAGAGGGGCAUUAUGGGUAACCACACAUGAAAUUACAAAACAUACUGAAGUAUAAAGUUGCCAAUAAGUACACACACCAUUCACACUUUAUUUAUGAUGAUAAUUAAUUAUUAUUAUUAUAAUUUCUUAUUGAAACACAUCAAUAUCAUCACUUAAAGCACAUAUAUAUGUGCUGUUUAUACACACUGACCUCAUGCACAUAAAAAUACCUGCACAAAGACAUUUAUCCCAGCAUCCUUUGCACUGUUGUUUUACUGUCUACAAAUGUUAUUGUUGUUGUUUAUGUCUAUAUAUACAUACAUUUGUAUAUAGUAGUUUAAGUCUGUUUUGUUGAGCUUGUUGUCCUGUUUAUUUAUGCUUAUUCUGUAUAUGAGAGUCAAAUUCAUUGUAUGUUCAUACCUGGCCAUACAGGAAAAGUCUAGGAACGUCAUAUUAAAACAGGGUGUAACAUCUUAAGCCCACUAUCACUCAGUCCUGAAAUAAAGACAAUAUUAUAUUGAUUUCACUUUGUCUAGACAUGCAUCUGUCCUACAGUCUGUAACCUGUAAGGACACACUCAGCUGUUUGUUGACACUGAAGUGCUAUAACUGACUGUAAGUCAUACACAUUUAGGAAAGUUAGUGUGUGUGUUGUUCACAUGACUUUAUGGUUAAUGAGAUAAAGAGAUGAUCCACUGAUACUGUGCUACUGUGUGUGUGUGUGUGUGUGUGUGUAGGAUGGGAUGUGUGAGGGAGCUGCAGAUGGAGACGCCACAGGAAAGAAGGAGGGGAGAUACAGAGAUUUGACCUCUGCGGUGCCAUUGGCCAGCCUUUCUCUCUGUUUCCUGGUUGAAACUGAACUCUAUAGGCUGAUCUCUUGGUUGAUGGUCCCUAGACGGCUGUGAGCCGUCCAAUCAGCUGCAGGGGGUGGGACCGCGGAUUCUCCUGCUAUCAUCACAUUUGACAGCUGCUGCAGCAGCUCACAUGACCAAACAACAAUUACCUCAUACAUGUAGUACUCCUGCUGAAGGUGUUGCAUUGGAGACAUUGCUCCCUGCUGGCUGGGCAGCAACAAGGGGGGGUGGGGGCUGUCAGCUGAAAUGACAAAACUCAGCCUGCUGGGAUGAUGUCUGAUGGAUGCACCUUGCACUGAUAGAUACUAUAAGAACAUUAUUCACUGUGAUAUUACUCCCACAGUGGUGUGUGGAUGGAUCAAAAAGGUGCAGUCAGUGAGGGUCAGAAGGCAAACAGCUACCAAUCUGCUGAAUAUCCUCACAAAAACUUUAUAUCUACAGUAAUAUUUUACUGCCCUUUAUAACAUCAGUACAUCAGUUUAAUACUAGACCAUGAUUGUGUUUCAGUAUCAACUUCAUCACUGUACUCAGGCUGGACUCAAGUUCUAUAAGUUAUUUAAUAAUUCCAUACAGUGAGAUUGAUGUAUGUAUUUAUAUUGAUAGAGGAAAUCCAGAUUCUGUAUUCUGAUGUGAGGAUGCAUCCAUAAAAAAUGUAUUCAGGAUUUGAAUAUUUCCCUCACUGUGAUAUAUGAAUGUAUGAAAAAAUGUCUCUGCAGCGAGGAUUUAAAGAUCCAGUGUGCAGGAAUAUAGUAGCAUAUAGUGGGGUCAAUUUGCAGAUUGCAACUAACUGAACACCACUCGCAUCUGUAUUUGACGAUCUGUGACUGAGAACAGGCUGUGAAGUGAACUAUCUACAGACAGUGUUUGGUUUGUCCAUUCUGGGCUACUGUAGAAACAUGGCGGUUCAAGAUGGACUCCAUGUAGAUAAAAACAGCUCAUUCUGAGGUUAAAAAAACACAACGAUUCUUAUCUACAGGUGAUUAUACACUUAUGAAUAUUUUCCUGUACUGACACAUUAUGUUUUAUUGCUACAAGGAUUUAUUGUGUAUCUAUGUUAGUUAGUAUUAUUUAUUGUGUCAUGCACAAACAAGACACCAAAAAUACAGUUGCAGUUAUCAAUAACUGCAAUACCAGUUUGGUGCAGACAUUCAUGGUCUUUGUGGACUUUAGUGAUCCCCUGAUUUGUCAUCCUAGAGCCAUUAUUGGCUCAAAAUUAAAGAAAGAAGCAAAGUUUUUAAAAGACAGUGGUUGAAGUGGAGGUAGAGGAGAGGAGGAAGUGCAGUUAUGAAACCAUGAAUUGAUCUAUAGAAUUAAAAGUUGCAUUUAUUAAAGUUUUUCUUUUGAAUUCCUUCGUUAAA